rnacentral:lncRNA from 1 species
CUUAUCUCCUUGUCAUUAAUUCAGAUCGCAUUCAAAUUAAGAAGGAGAUAAGAACUGUAACUCAUCAUGAUUGCUGCCCACCCUAUCUAUGUCCUCUCUUCUCACAUCCAAAAAUCUCACACAAAAACCUUUUUGGCAUUGAGAAGAAUGGCGUGGGUCCAAGGUGUGUGCAAGAGAGAGAGAGUCCCUGCUAGCUGGGACUCUUCAUUUUCAAUUUGAUUUCAAAUUAAAUCAAAUCUGAUUUGAACCCAA